AUGGGGGUGCAUAAGUGCAUACGCUAUGGGCAGCUUGCAUGUUUUGGAAGGAACUAUGAAUGUUGAAAGGAAUAUAAAGGUUUUAGAGCAACACAUGCUCCCCUCCAGAGGACGUCUGUUUCAGGGAAGGCCUUGUGUAUUUCAGCAGGACAAUGCAAAACCACAUACUGCAGCUAUUACAACCACAUGGCUUCGUUGGAGAAGAGUCCGGGUGCUGAAUUGGCCUGUCUGCAGUCCAGAUCUUUCACCUAUAGAGAACAUACAGUAAUUAUCUGUGACACCCAUGGUGCACUGUGAGCAGGUAUACAGGCCCACAGAGCAUGCAGAUAAUUAUCUGUGACACCCAUGGUGCACUGUGAGCAGGUAUACAGGCCAACAGAGCAUGCAGAUAAUUAUCUGUGACACCCAUGGUGCACUGUGAGCAGGUAUACAGGCCCACAGAGCAUGCAGAUAAUUAUCUGUGACACCCCUUGUACACUGUGAGCAGGUAUACAGGCCAACAGAGCAUGCAGAUAAUUACCUGUGACACCCAUUGUACACUGUGAGCAGGUAUACAGGCCCACAGAGCAUGCAGAUAAUUAUCUGUGACACCCAUUGUACACUGUGAGCAGGUAUACAGGCCCACAGAGCAUGCAGAUAAUUAUCUGUGACACCCAUUGUACACUGUGAGCAGGUAUACAGGCCCACAGAGCAUGCAGAUAAUUAUCUGUGACACCCAUUGUACACUGUGAGCAGGUAUACAGGCCCACAGAGCAUGCAGAUAAUUAUCUGUGACAUCC